rnacentral:tRNA from 2 species
GGGGCUAUAGCUCAAUUGGUAGAGCGCUUGCAUGGCAUGCAAGAGGUCAGGGGUUCAAUUCCCCUUAGCUCCAC